UCUCAACCUCCGUUAAUUUGGUUUCCUCGGAAAUGUUUUUACACGAUGUAUUUUCUGGAAAAUACACUGUACUACAAAGACUACAAAUGUCUUGAGAGAAAGCGAAAUUCAGAGAGAGAAGCACAAUAAUUUAUUGUCACAUAUAAUUAGAUCUCAAAGGGAGUUGCAGAAUAAGGAAUACUGGCGAAUGUCAAAAUUGAACAAAAAAGUUUGCAAAAUUAUAAAGAAUAACAACGGA
rnacentral:lncRNA from 1 species